rnacentral:rRNA from 1 species
AGAACGAACGCUGGCGGCGUGCUUAACACAUGCAAGUCGAGUGCGCGCCUGUAGCAAUACAGGUGGCGCACGGCGCACGGGUGCGUAACACGUGGGUAAUCUGCCCUUCGAUGGGGAAUAACUCGCCGAAAGGCGAGCUAAUUCCGCAUAACAUUCCAAGGACUUCGGUUUUUGGACUCAAAGGCGUAAGUCGUCGGAGGAGGAGCCCGCGCACGAUUAGCUAGUUGGUGAGGUAAUGGCUCACCAAGGCUAUGAUCGUUAGCUGGU